rnacentral:rRNA from 1 species
CCUACGGGAGGCAGCAGUGGGGAAUAUUGGGCAAUGGGCGCAAGCCUGACCCAGCAACGCCGCGUGAAGGAAGAAGGCUUUCGGGUUGUAAACUUCUUUUCUCAGGGACGAAGCAAGUGACGGUACCUGAGGAAUAAGCCACGGCUAACUACGUGCCAGCAGCCGCGGUAAUACGUAGGUGGCAAGCGUUAUCCGGAUUUACUGGGUGUAAAGGGCGGGUAGGCGGGGACGCAAGUCAGAUGUGAAAACCACGGGCUCAACCUGUGGCCUGCAUUUGAAACUGUGUUUCUUGAGUACUGGAGAGGCAGGCGGAAUUCCUAGUGUAGCGGUGAAAUGCGUAGAUAUCAGGAGGAACACCGGUGGCGAAGGCGGUCUGCUGGACAGCAACUGACGCUGAGGCGCGAAAGCGUGGGGAGCGAACAGGAUUAGAUACCCCGGUAGUC